GAUUGGCCUCAUCAGUUUCACCUGUGUCUCCUCAUUGGUGUCAGCUUGAGUUUGAAUCCUGCUUUUUGUUUUGUGUUGGUUGGAUUCUUGUGUAUCGCUUUUUGGAAAGUGUUACCUUGUCUGGACCGAGCAUGGAUUGAAGGGGUCAUGGCUGAAAACACAACGUGUGUUUAUACGAAGGGUCACCGGAGCAUUCCUCAGGCCGUCACCAGGUCACAGAGCAGGAACCUUUAGGAGGGGAGGCAGCGACCAUGACAGAGAGAGAGAGAGUCCCAGCAGAUGUGUGAGAGGGGGAGGGAGGGGUCAGAGGUCACUCACCGUCCUGUCCUCACUGAGAGGUUCUGACCCAGGAACCGGAGGAGGUUGGACGGGCCGUGCUCCCACAGGCAGGCGUGGGCCCAGUCCUCAGAGGUCUUCGCCAGGGUGUCGUCCCACACCUGAAGAUUCAAGAUUAAAGAUUCAAGGCUGCUGGCACCAUACAUGACCCCUCUUCCCCUGGAAGUGACUACUCUGGUGGUCUCUCCUGCAGAGCAAUCUGCUCCACAGCUCAACGCCAAGAAACUACAAGACAUGUCACUUUACUUCCUUUCCAAACUGCAGCUAUUAAAUCUUCCUUUGACUAAACAUUUUCCCACUAGCAGAACAUGCAUAAU